UGCGUAGGCGGUUAGUUAAGUCUGUUGUGAAAUCCCCGGGCUCAACCUGGGAAUGGCAAUGGAUACUGGCUAGCUAGAGUGUGUCAGAGGAUGGUGGAAUUUCCGGUGUAGCGGUGAAAUGCGUAGAGAUCGGAAGGAACAUCAGUGGCGAAGGCGGGCCAUCUGGGACAACACUGACGCUGAAGCACGAAAGCUGGGGAGCAAACA
rnacentral:rRNA from 1 species